UACGUAGGCAGCGAGCGUUGUUCGGAGUUACUGGGCGUAAAGCGUGCGUAGGCGGUGGUCCAAGUCUGGUGUGAAAUCUCCCGGCUUAACUGGGAGGGUGCGCCGGAAACUGGGCCGCUGGAGUACGGGAGAGGCAAGCGGAAUUCCUGGUGUAGCGGUGAAAUGCGUAGAUAUCAGGAGGAACGCCCGUGGUGCAGACGGCUUGCUGGACCGUGACUGACGCUGAGGCACGAAAGCGUGGGUAGCAAACAGG
rnacentral:rRNA from 1 species